AGUGAACGCUGGCGGUAGGCCUAACACAUGCAAGUCGAACGGCAGCACGGAGGAGCUUGCUCCUUGGGUGGCGAGUGGCGGACGGGUGAGGAAUACAUCGGAAUCUACUCUGUCGUGGGGGAUAACGUAGGGAAACUUACGCUAAUACCGCAUACGACCUACGGGUGAAAGCAGGGGACCUUCGGGCCUUGCGCGAUUGGAUGAGCCGAUGUCGGUUUAGCUAGUUGGCGGGGGAAAGGCCAACCAAGGCGACGAUCCGUAGCUGGUCUGGGAGGAUGAACAGCCACGCUGGAACUGAGACACGGUCCAGACUCCUACGGGAGGAAGCUGUGGGGAAUAAUAGACAAUGGGCGCAAGCCUGAUCCAGCCAUACCGCUUGGGUGAAGAAGGCCUUCGGGUUGUAAAGCCCUUUUGUUGGGAAAGAAAUCCAGCUGGCUAAUACCCGGUUGGGAUGACGGUACCCAAAGAAUAAGCACCGGCUAACUUCGUGCCAGCCGCCGCGGUAA
rnacentral:rRNA from 1 species